GGGCCAGACUCCUACGGGAGGCAGCAGUGAGGAAUAUUGGUCAAUGGACGCAAGUCUGAACCAGCCAAGUAGCGUGCAGGAUGACGGCCCUCCGGGUUGUAAACUGCUUUUAGUUGGGAAUAAAAGGGGGCUCGUGAGCCCCGUAUUGUAUGUACCAUCAGAAAAAGGACCGGCUAAUUCCGUGCCAGCAGCCGCGGUAAUACGGAAGGUCCGGGCGUUAUCCGGAUUUAUUGGGUUUAAAGGGAGCGUAGGCCGGCUUUUAAGUCAGCUGUGAAAGUCCGCGGCUCAACCGUGGAAUUGCAGUUGAAACUGGAGGCCUUGAGUGCACACAGGGAUGCCGGAAUUCAUGGUGUAGCGGUGAAAUGCUUAGAUAUAACUUAGAACUCCGAUAGCGAAGGCAGCUUACCAGACUGCGACUGACGCUGAAGCACGAGAGCGUGGGUAGCGAACAGGAUUAGAUACCCCAGUA
rnacentral:rRNA from 1 species